AGCGAACGGGGAGCAGCCCAGAGCCUGAAUCAGUGUGUGUGUUAGUGGAAGCGUCUGGAAAGGCGCGCGAUACAGGGUGACAGCCCCGUACACAAAAAUGCACAUGCUGUGAGCUCGAUGAGUAGGGCGGGACACGUGGUAUCCUGUCUGAAUAUGGGGGGACCAUCCUCCAAGGCUAAAUACUCCUGACUGACCGAUAGUGAACCAGUACCGUGAGGGAAAGGCGAAAAGAACCCCGGCGAGGGGAGUGAAAAAGAACCUGAAACCGUGUACGUACAAGCAGUGGGAGCACAGAGCAAUCUGUGUGACUGCGUACCUUUUGUAUAAUGGGUCAGCGACUUAUAUUCUGUAGCAAGGUUAACCGAAUAGGGGAGCCGAAGGGAAACCGAGUCUUAACUGGGCGUUAAGUUGCAGGGUAUAGACCCGAAACCCGGUGAUCUAGCCAUGGGCAGGUUGAAGGUUGGGUAACACUAACUGGAGGACCGAACCGACUAAUGUUGAAAAAUUAGCGGAUGACUUGUGGCUGGGGGUGAAAGGCCAAUCAAACCGGGAGAUAGCUGGUUCUCCCCGAAAGCUAUUUAGGUAGCGCCUCGUGAAUUCAUCUCCGGGGGUAGAGCACUGUUUCGGCAAGGGGGUCAUCCCGACUUACCAACCCGAUGCAAACUGCGAAUACCGGAGAAUGUUAUCACGGGAGACACACGGCGGGUGCUAACGUCCGUCGUGAAGAGGGAAACAACCCAGACCGCCAGCUAAGGUCCCAAAGUCAUGGUUAAGUGGGAAACGAUGUGGGAAGGCCCAGACAGCCAGGAUGUUGGCUUAGAAGCAGCCAUCAUUUAAAGAAAGCGUAAUAGCUCACUGGUCGAGUCGGCCUGCGCGGAAGAUGUAACGGGGCUAAACCAUGCACCGAAGCUGCGGCAGCGACGCUUAUGCGUUGUUGGGUA
rnacentral:rRNA from 1 species